AUACUUACCUGGCAGGGGAGAUACUGUGAUCACAAAGGUGGUCUUCCGAAGGUGAGACUAAUCCAUUGCAUUCCAGAUGCGCUGAUCCCUGAGAUUUCUUCAAAUAUGGGAAACUCGAUUACAUAAUUUGCGGUAGUGGGGAACUGCAUUUAUGCUUUCCCCUA
rfam:Tupaia chinensis contig7957, whole genome shotgun sequence.